GACAAACAGGUCAAGUUAAAGUUGGUACAGUAAAAAAGGAGGUUAUAUAUUUAUUUUGAGAAAUAAUGCUCUUUAGGGAGGUGGAAUUUAGAUAAAGAGAGGUAAUUUAUAUUUUUCUUUUUUUGAGGCCUCGAAAUUUUGUUAUGAAACCGGGAUUAGAUACCCCGUUAUUCAAAAUGUAAACUUUAAUUAUAUUUAUAAUUUACUUGAGUAUUACGAGUGUAAUGGAUGUGUUUUGUUAUAUUUCUUAAAACUUAAAAAACUUGGCGGUGCCUUAUAUCCUUCCAGGGGAACCUGUCCUAUAAUCGAUAGUCCACGAUUUAACUUUCUUUCUUUUGAAUUUUAAUAUCAGCCUGUAUACCGUCGUCGUCAGGUUACUUUUAAGAAUUAUGAAGUUAUCAGUGAGAAUAAUAAGAUUAAAUUUAUGGAAUCAGCUAUGGAUUUGAUUUAUAUAAUUCUAGACGUCAGAUCAAGGUGCAGCCUAUAGGGAAGUAGAGAUGGGUUACAAUAAUAAAUUAUUAUACGAAUUUUUGUUGUAAGUAGCAGAAGUGAAGGCGGACUUGGAAGUAAUUGGUUUAAAGAUAAGAGAGCUUAAAUGAAAAUAGGCUCUGGGGUGCGC
rnacentral:rRNA from 1 species